UGUGGGAGCGAGCCUGCUCGCGAUGGCGGUGGGUCAGUUCACAUCUCUUGUACUGAUCCUAUGCCAUCGCGAGCAGGCUCGCUCCCACA
rnacentral:misc_RNA from 1 species